GGGACGAACGCUGGCGGCGUGCUUAACACAUGCAAGUCGAGCGAGGCCCCUCCUUCGGGAGGGUGUCCUAGCGGCGAACGGGUGAGUAACACGUGGGCAACCUGCCCUCAGCUCUGGGAUAACCCCGGGAAACCGGGGCUAAUACCGGAUACGACCUCCUUAGGCAUCUGAGGUGGUGAAAAGUUUUUCGGCUGAGGAUGGGCCCGCGGCCUAUCAGCUUGUUGGUGGGGUGAUGGCCUACCAAGGCGACGACGGGUAGCCGGCCUGAGAGGGUGACCGGCCACACUGGGACUGAGACACGGCCCAGACUCCUACGGGAGGCAGCAGUGGGGAAUAUUGCGCAAUGGGCGAAAGCCUGACGCAGCGACGCCGCGUGAGGGACGAAGGCCUUCGGGUUGUAAACCGUCUUUCAGCAGGGACGAAGCGAAGUGACGGUACCUGCAGAAGAAGCACCGGCCAACUACGUGCCAGCAGCCGC
rnacentral:rRNA from 1 species